AGUGAACGCUGGCGGUAGGCCUAACACAUGCAAGUCGAACGGCAGCACAGUAAGAGCUUGCUCUUACGGGUGGCGAGUGGCGGACGGGUGAGGAAUACAUCGGCAUCUACUUUUUCGUGGGGGAUAACGUAGGGACACUUACGCUAAUACCGCAUACGACCUACGGGUGAAAGCAGGGGAUCUUCGCACCUUGCGCGAUUGAAUGAGCCGAUGUCGGAUUAGCUAGUUGGCGGGGUAAAGGCCCACCAAGGCGACGAUCCGUAGCUGGUCUGAGAGGAUGAUCAGCCACACUGGAACUGAGACACGGUCCAGACUCCUACGGGAGGCAGCAGUGGGGAAUAUUGGACAAUGGGCGCAAGCCUGAUCCAGCCAUACCGCGUGAGUGAAGAAGGCCUUCGGGUUGUAAAGCCCUUUUGUUGGGAAAGAAAAGCAGCGUGUUAAUACCCCGCUGUUCUGACGGUACCCAAAGAAUAAGCACCGGCUAACUUCGUG
rnacentral:rRNA from 1 species